ACUAUGCACCGAAGCUGCGGCAGCGACACUAUGUGUUGUUGGGUAGGGGAGCGUUCUGUAAGCCGUUGAAGGUGGCCUGUGAGGGUAGCUGGAGGUAUCAGAAGUGCGAAUGCUGACAUAAGUAACGAUAAAGCGGGUGAAAAGCCCGCUCGCCGGAAGACCAAGGGUUCCUGUCCAACGUUAAUCGGGGCAGGGUGAGUCGACCCCUAAGGCGAGGCCGAAAGGCGUAGUCGAUGGGAAACAGGUUAAUAUUCCUGUACUUGGUGUUACUGCGAAGGGGGGACGGAGAAGGCUAUGUUAUCCGGGCGACGGUUGUCCCGGUUUAAGCAUGUAGGCGGAGAGUUUAGGUAAAUCCGGACUCUUAUCUAACGCUGAGGUGUGAUGACGAGGUACUACGGUACUGAAGUAACA
rnacentral:rRNA from 1 species